UGAACAUCGCUGACUCUCUAGUGGUCGAGUUUAAUAGCUGUUACUGAGAAACUACAUGCUGCUAGAUCAGCCAAGCUGUCAUCUGUCCUCAUCCUACUCGACCUUUCAGCAGCGUUUAACACAAGACUUCAGACUUGGAAUUCAUCGAGCAGCAUGGCAAUGAUCUGAGUCUGGACCUGGUUUUGUACUGAACACACAAGUUCAUUAGAUCACUUGGUGUGAACAGGAACGAUGAUCAGACUCUUUGUCGCUCUUUGUGCUCUUUUUUCUCUCUUCACAGCUGUGAAAACUUCUGACAUCAAGGAGAUUGACGUGAUAACAGUAAAGCGUGGAGAAGAUGUAACUAUGGAGUGUAGCAUUAGCAGUGACACAAAGAAAGAGAAUGUAGUUUGGUACAGACAGAUUUCAGGAAAAUUACCUCAGUUUAUUGCAAAACCAUACAAGAACACGGACAAAUUGGGCUACAAAUUUAUUGAUGGAUUUAAUGAUGAUCGUUUCAGUUUUAGUGUAAAUGACAAAAAAUUUGAUCUCAGUAUUAAACAAACAAGAGAAGAUGAUGAAGGAGAAUAUUUCUGUGGAGAAAUGGAAGGAAGUGUAGUGAAGUUCACAUCUGGAACACGUCUGCAAUUUUCAGGUAAACAGUUUUACUCUGAUAACCUGCUAAUUCCAGAUCAACACUUUAACCAGAAUUAUGUCUACAUAUGUAUUAAAUGUUGAAUAUUUCACUUUAGUUAUAUUUAGUAUCAUUUCUGUUAAUUUUCUCCUUUUCUGAUGUAUUUGUAAAGAUAAAGAGACGACACACCGUCCAACAUCUGGAACACCCAUCUGCAAUAAAACAAGUGAACACGACUGGAUUAAUCCCUUAAUAGCCUCCAAUAUAUUCUCUGUUAUCGUAAUCACACUUCUGCUUGGAGUUUUAUAUAAAAAUCACAGAAAAGGUUUGUUUAUUUUUAUUUGUUGUUAUUUAUAGAGUUAUUGUAUAAAGUUGUUGUAUGAUGUGAAUUUCAUCUUUACUUGUGUGUCUUAUUGUUCAGAUGCUUCAUCAAGCAACCAUCAAAUUCCCACCAAUCAGGUAAUCCAGUCUUCUAUUAACUGGGAUUCUGUUCUGUUAAAUAAAUCCACAUCUGAAUGCACAGAGAAUUUUAAUAGACAUCUAUUCACCUAAAUAUCAGUGUAGUCAUUAUUUUAGUCUUUUUAGCACCAUGUUCAUUC